AAUAGAUACCCGGGUAGUCCACGCCGUAAACGAUGAGUGCUAAGUGUUAGAGGGUUUCCGCCCUUUAGUGCUGCAGCUAACGCAUUAAGCACUCCGCCUGGGGAGUACGGUCGCAAGACUGAAACUCAAAGGAAUUGACGGGGGCCCGCACAAGCGGUGGAGCAUGUGGUUUAAUUCGAAGCAACGCGAAGAACCUUACCAGGUCUUGACAUCCCACUGACCGGUAUAGAGAUAUACCUUUCCCUUCGGGGACAGUGGUGACAGGUGGUGCAUGGUUGUCGUCAGCUCGUGUCGUGAGAUGUUGGGUUAAGUCCCGCAACGAGCGCAACCCUUGAUCUUAGUUGCCAGCAUUUAGUUGGGCACUCUAAGGUGACUGCCGGUGACAAACCGGAGGAAGGUGGGGAUGACGUCAAAUCAUCAUGCCCCUUAUGACCUGGGCUACACACGUGCUACAAUGGAUGGUACAAAGGGCUGCAAGACUGCGAAGUCAAGCCAAUCCCAUAAAAACCAUUCUCAGUUCGGAUUGCAGG
rnacentral:rRNA from 1 species